GAAGAACUUACGGUGAUUGUUUUUGAAAAUGAGGCGCCAUAAAAUAUUGCAAAGAUUUGAAACAAAUACAAAACACAUGUGCGAAACGAAAGAAAUGCUAAAGGAAACGAGUGAAAAAAUCUCCAACAUGGAAACGUCAUCAAAUCUGACAACUGAAAAAGAAAACAAAUAUAGAAGUUAUGCCGCCAAGACCACACCUAAACAAAUUUUGACGAAUUACAAGAUUAUCUUUGCCUAUUCCCAGGCAACAUGAUGUCGUCUUUUUCACGUGAAUAAAUGGUCAUCAAUUACGUCAUAGUGACCAAAGAUUUCACGUGAUAUUGACGUACCAAUGACGGUCAAAUGUCUCGUCCAGAUGACGUCAUUUUCUAACGAACUACGGCAUUUAUUGUAUACUUUCUUUAAUCUUUGGUAUAGACCAGAAAGGGGUGAAGGUUGUAUUGCCGAAUAGGCAACAUGAAGGACAUUUAGGGGCGGUUGCAUAAACGCAAAUCAAAUUUAAUCUCUGAUUAACUCCAUAGCAACGAUUGUUAUUAUCAUAGUUAAAUAGUUCUUAAUCAGAGAUUAAAUUUGAUUUGCGUUUAUGCAACCGGCCCUUAGCUUGUGGACGCCGGCAUCGCAUUUUGGAUUUUUGAGGGGCAAGAGGUGGGUAGUAGGACACUGCGCAGAUGCAGCCUGUGGCUGUGGGCUUCAGAUUCUUCCCGGUCUUUUACUAUUUACUGACAUAUGUCAAUGUUGUGCGAUGCAGUGUGAUGUUUUGGAAUAAAAGGUGUUUCACGGCUGAAAUUCUCGCAAGUGACCGUGGAAUUGAUGUGAAAGGACUGAGGCUUGCGCUUGAAGCGGAGGCAACACCAUUGCAAAACAUCACUUCGUCCUUCGAAGUAUUUGGAAUGAUCUCAAUGUGAAUACCUUUUACUUUAAAAUAACCUGGAGGAAAUGGAAACCCUUGAAUGGAUCUGGUACUCCCAAUUGACGUCUAGAAGUAUUAUGGUGGAAGGUUUGUGUUUUUGUUAUUUUUUUGUUUAUAACAGAAUUGUUUUUUAUUUUAUUGUUAAUUUCUGAAUUGUAUAUAUAGUCUAUUUUUAAUGUUUAAUAUACUUCGUUUGUAAAA